rnacentral:rRNA from 1 species
UGGGGGAUAUUGCACAAUGGGCGAAAGCCUGAUGCAGCGACGCCGCGUGGGGGAUGAAGGCUUUCGGGUUGUAAACCUCUUUCGCUAUCGAACAAGGCCCGCUUAGGGUGGGUUGAGGGUAGGUGGAGAAGAAGCGCCGGCUAACUACGUGCCAGCAGCCGCGGUAAUACGUAGGGCGCGAGCGUUGUCCGGAAUUAUUGGGCGGAAAGGGCUUGUAGGCGGCGUGUUGCGCCUGCUGUGAAAACGCGGGGCUUAACUUCGCGCGUGCAGUGGGUACGGGCAGGCUUGAGUGUGGUAGGGGUGACUGGAAUUCCAGGUGUAGCGGUGGAAUGCGCAGAUAUCUGGAGGAACACCGAUGGCGAAGGCAGGUCACUGGGCCAUUACUGACGCUGAGGAGCGAAAGCAUGGGUAGCGAACAGG